UACGGGGGGAGCAAGCGUUGUUCGGAUUUACUGGGCGUAAAGGGCGCGUAGGCGGCCUUCUAAGUCGAACGUGAAAUCCCCGGGCUCAACCCGGGAACUGCGUCCGAUACUGGAAGGCUUGAAUCCGGGAGAGGGAUGCGGAAUUCCAGGUGUAGCGGUGAAAUGCGUAGAUAUCUGGAGGAAUACCGGUGGCGAAGGCGGCAUCCUGGACCGGCAUUGACGCUGAGGCGCGAAAGCCAGGGGAGCAAACGGG
rnacentral:rRNA from 1 species